rfam:Salmo salar isolate Sally breed double haploid chromosome ssa15, whole genome shotgun sequence.
AUCCCUGUAGCUCAGUUGGUAGAGCAUGGUGUUUGCAAUGCCAGGGUUGUGGGUUCGAUUCCCACGGGGGGCC